GCCUGGCAGGCUCAGUCGGUCGGGCGCCCGACUUCGGCUCAGGUCAUGAUCUUGUGGUUUGUGGGUUCAAGUCCCGCGUCAGGCU
rnacentral:tRNA from 1 species